rnacentral:rRNA from 1 species
UACGGAGGGGGCUAGCGUUGUUCGGAAUUACUGGGCGUAAAGCGCACGUAGGCGGAUUGUUAAGUCGGGGGUGAAAUCCCGGGGCUCAACCCCGGAAUGGCCUCCGAUACUGGCAAUCUUGAGGUCGGGAGAGGUGAGUGGAAUGGCGAGUGUAGAGGUGAAAUUCGUAGAUAUUCGCCGGAACACCAGUGGCGAAGGCGGCUCACGGGCCCGAUAUUGACGUUGAGGUGCGACAGCGUGGGGAGCAAACAGG